CCCCGCCUCUCUUCAUGCGCAGCGAUGCAGCAGAGCGCGGUUGCAAAGGGGGAGCCUCGCAACAAAGAACAGCUGAUAAGCCUCUGUUCCUCUCUCUGAGGAGAGGGGGGCUGUGCAAUUGUCUACGUACAUGGAUUAUUGAUCUCUUUGCAUAUUCUCCAUUAACUUUGAGGGAGUGAGAAUCACGCACAUGCUUCUCUUCCAAGAUGACCAUCACCAUGGACUAAGACUUCUACUUUUUCUAUCUAAGCUAGAGCCUAUGUUUCCUGAACGUAUGAAAGGUUAUGGUGCCAGCGACAAUGCCCAGAAUGCCUGUCUUCUCCAUGUCCUGCAAGACCACCUCGUUGUUCUUCAGCCAGGUGAUGUUCAGCACCAGGGGAGAGAAGCGGUCCACCAAGCAGAUGAGGACAAUGGGAUCCCCCAGUUCCACAGGGUCUUCCACGUACACGGUUGCCAAAGGAGCCACUGAAGAAGGAAUGGGACAAGGCCAGAGACAAUACUCUGUGUCCUCCGGAGGCUCAUUCCUUCCCUGUGUGACCUGAUCCUGGCAGUCCCUGGUCACAAGCGGCAUCCCCUCCGAGGCCUGCCAUUCCUGGUCCUCGAUGCCUCUCCCAGGAAGCCACACUGUGGAAAUCCCUUUUAUGCCCUUCCCAGGGUGAGCAACUUCAGCUAAGCCAGAGGGGAGGCCCUGAGACUCUUUGAGAUGGCCAUCCCCUUCCCCACCCCUCUGGGCAUGAGACUGGAGUCACAGAUUCAUAUAGCUGAAAGGUACCUCAGAGGUCAUCUAGUCCAAUCCCCUGCUGAUGUAGGAAGACCUCUCCUGCAGCAUCCCAGGAUAUUCCCUUUCUGUGAGAAUCAGGGGGCCUCCUUUCCUUGCAAGUGUGAGAACUUCUGGGCUUGUCCUAUCAAAUGCAGCAGUGUCUCUCUCUGUGGGGGGGCUUCGUUCCCUUUCAGUCUGUCUGUGUGAGGCAGGUUGGACUCCAUGGCCUUACAGGCCCCUUCCAACUCUACUGUCCAACAACCCUAGGCAUGGGUUGCUUCCCUCGGGCAGGAUUUCUGGGGUAGUGGAAGAGGCUGAAGGGGUUUGUCAUAGAAGCCAUGAGGAACCCCCCCUGCACGCCUGGGUCCUCCCCUCCAUCCUGUUGGAAAUGGGGCAGGAGCCACUCCUCUUUGAGUUUUUGUGUGUGUGUUCCAGAAGAAAGAUAGAGUGAGGGUCCUCCAGCUGGCUAGGCUUGCCUAACUUUACAUGUGCUGUUCUCUAGCUAACUUCCUUUGGUUGGAAACUGAUAUGCUGCAUUGCACCUCAACUUUGUCACUUAGAAGUAGGUAUGCCUUUCCUAUCUAUUGUACACCACCCAGAGAGCUUGCUACGGGCGGUAUAGAAAUCGAAUUAAUUAAAUAAAUAAUAAUAAAUAAAUAAAAUCUACUAUGUAUUUCUAUAA